ACAUAGGGUCCCAGAUACUUGUUGACACCAAAGAUGUCCAGGACACGGAUGUACCAGAAGAUGAUAUCCACGCAGUAGAUCACGCGGCCAUAACCCAUGUAGGGCUGCUUCUGUAGGCGGAGGAUGGCUCCAAUCAUGAACAUGGAAAUGGCCACGAGCAGUUGUGCUGGCGGCCAGCCCAGAGGCACUGGAGGCUUCCACCAGAAGAAGAUACAUCCGAAUUGAAGUCAGUGGUGGGUGGGGCUGGGACAGGCCUUUGGAGCAUCACCUCCCGAAUCUUCUCCAGGGCCAGGCUCACGAUGUAGGAGAUGACGAUCCACUCCUGGAGGCAGGGCCAACGCUCCAUCCGCACCAGGAUGACGUAGUUGAACAGCAGUAGGUAACCCAGUGUCUGCAUUCGCAUCCUGGAAACAGAGCAGAGCACGUGGCAAGCAGGCUGCCAGAUGGGAAACGCCUUGGACUCCAGCACCAUAUUUAACAGACAGGUGCCUCAAAAAUCAAGGAUUAUAAAAGACGCAGACGUAGAGAAUGGACUUGAGGACACGGAGAGGAGGAAGGUCAUCAGAGGUGCGAAAUUCCAAAAACAAGAUGGUCGGGGGGAGAAGAAUCCCCAUGAUAACCUAGGUAUGAUGAGAAAAGUGGAUUUUAAGCUAUGGCAAUUCUUGAAAAUUUUCCUAGUAUAGGCAAAAAAAUUUUAAUUAUGAUCUUCAGCAUUACUCAGUAAUCUAGCAGCCCUGGAACAGGUCUAUCUCUGCUCUGACGGUCUGUGGCUUAUUCUGUUUGGUAUAUUGAUAGAACUGCAGACACUGAGAAAUUUAAGAUCAUCCACCAAAUUGUUCUAGAUGAACAGCAAGCAGUAUUGUGUGGAAUCCUGACUUAAAAAGAGAAGAUCUUGCAUAGAGUUUCAAAGCAGGCAAUUUUUUAAAGUAAAAUAUAGUAAGUAAAAAUAAAUAAGUAAAUAAAAUGAUACCUCUAGUGAAGUAGACCAAAAAUAUUUUAUAUAGGAAUAACUUAGAUGUCAAUGUGAAUAUAUGGACCAAGAGUUGGAAGAGAAACGUGACUGAUGAAUAUAGGACUUACUUGGGCUCAGCCUAGACAGCAAAAGGAUGGCCUAGCUUAUAGAUGGAAACCCUUGUCAUUUUUGUCAGUGCCGUGCAGUGUGUCUCCAAUACUGAACUCUGUUCCCAAUGAUCAAUGCUAAUUUUUUAAAGUUUCCCCUCAGCAAUCCAUUAUUAAGAAUAACACAAAAGGGGGACUUCCCUGGCGGUCCAGUGGUUAAGACUUCGCCUUCCAAGGCAGGGGGUGUGGGUUUGAUCCCUGGUUGGGGAGCUAAGAUCCCACAUGCCUCGUAGCCAAGAAAACCAAAACAUAAAAGAGAAGCAAUAUUGUAACAAAUUCAAUAAAGACUUUAAAAAUGGUCCACAUCAAAAAAAUCUUAAAAAAAAAGAGAGUAACACAAAAGGGUUAUUUCUACCAUAUACUAAAAAUUAUAUUAUAAAGCACCAAUAAUUAAAACAAAGUGGUACAGGUGCAUGAAGAGACCAAACAAUAGAGCAGAAUAGAAGGUCCAGAAAAAGAUUCAACUACACAUAGGCAAUUAGUUUGUGAUACAAACACCACCUCCAAUGGGAGGAGUAAAGAUGACUAUUUAAUAAACUGUAUUGAGAAACUGGGUGAUCAUCUAGAAAAUAAUUAGGUUAGAUCCAUAUCUCACACAUACACCAGAAUAAAUUGCAUCUAGCUCCAAUAUUUCAUGAAAGAAAAAAAAGGGAGGGGGCACAGAGAGAAGAUAAAACAACUAACAAUCACCACAUGAAAAUUCUUUCAUAAAUGGAGAGUAAGAGAAGGCCUUUCUAAUUAGGCUCCCAAAUCAAGAAGCAAUCAAAACAAAGAUCAAUAUAUUUGAUACUGAAAAAAAAUCACAAACUUCUGCACAAUGAAAACAUGCCUUAACCAAAGUAAAAAAUAACUUCUGGGAAAACAUAUUUGCAGCUCAUGUGACAGGCAAAGGGCUAAUCUUUCUAUUUAGAAAGGAUCUUCUAGAAGUCAAGAAGAAAAAUUCUAACAACCCAGCAGAAAAAUGGGCAAAGGCAGUGAACUUAGAGACAUUUGUACUGAGAGGAAAAUGGGCUUGUCCUCACUCAUAAUAAGAGACAUUCAAAGAAACUACACAGAGAUCUCAUUUUUUACCAUUAGAUUGGAGUGUUUGCUCACACACUGUAUUGGUGGAAUUGUGGGAAAACAAGACAUUCCCUACACUAUAGGUGGACACCUCCACAGAAGGACAGCUAUCAAGAUUGCAAGUGCAUAUCCCCAGGGGGCCACCAAUUCCCCUUCUGGACAUUUAUACAGCAGAUACGUGAGACACAGUAUGUGUCCAAAAGCACUCAUGGUGGCAGUGAGUGUAGCACCCCCAGGCAGAAGUGACCUCCAUGGCCUCAAUGGGGACUGGCCAUAAACUGCGGCCAUCGGCCAUGAAGGAGAACUGGGGAAGCGGGUAAGAAUGAAGGAAUAGUCUGUGUCCCAGAGGAAGUGAAAAAGGAAGGUACAAAACAACAACUAUGCCAACCCUUGUGAAAAGGAAAAAAAAAAAAGAAUAUUUACUUCAUCAUGAAAAAAAAGGAAAAAAAGAAUAUUUAUUCAUAGUAGCUUUAUAUAUGGAAAUAUACAUAAGAAACAAAUAUCAGUGGUUGCCAAUGGGUAGAACAAGCCAUAUGGGGGACAGGAGUUGGGAAAGAGACUUGUCACUUAUACUUUAAAAUAGUUUUAAUUUUUUAAUAUGUGCAUGUCCUUAUGACCUUUUCAAAGAAUUAAAUUAAAAAAAGAACAAACCAUCCCUGCUUUAAAAUAAUUAUAUAUUUAUGUUGUGAAUUAAAAAUGCUUGGAAGGAAAUCUGAUGCUUACAAAUAUUUAUAACUUUGGGUAGACAUUAUAUCUAAAAGUAGCAUUAGGUAAAGAAGGAAAUGAUAGAAAA